CUGUCUUGUAUUCUGUUUGCUGUUCUCUGUUUCUUGAUCCAUGCUCCUGAUUCAUGUUCCUGAUCCAUGCUCCUGUCCAUGCGCUUCUGUCCCGUUUUGAGCUUACUACACUCCUGUUCGCCUCCGGAGAAUGUUUCCUGACACUUCCAACCUUUGUUAUAAAUUGGUCAACUCCCAAGGUCCCCACGGUUGACAUGUGGACAUCACAGAUUUCUGAACUUAUUCCUCUCGAGAAGUUGACUCAUGACCUCAAUAACAAAUCGGACAUGUUUCGGAGGAUCUGGGAACCACUGCACUCCUUCUUACAGAAGCUUUAACUCAGCAUCUAUCCCUGCAAGAUGAGGACUGCCUGUUUUUUCUUUAAUUUUUUCUUUAAUUUAUUCCAUGUAUGUGCUCUUCAUUUACCUGUCUCCCUUUUUGUUUUUCUAAACAUUUACUUAUUUAUUUACUUCACUCUAUGCAUAUGCCUGGUGCAGCGCUCACUGUUGGUUCGGGGUGGGUUUUCCUUGUUUCUUUUUUUUUUUUUUUUCUUUCUUGUUGUGUC